UACGGAGGGUGCGAGCGUUGUCCGGAAUCACUGGGCGUAAAGGGCGCGUAGGCGGCUUUUUAAGGGUGCGGUGAAAGCCCGGGGCUCAACCCCGGGUCGGCCGUGCGAACUGUCGAGCUGGAGCACUGUAGAGGCAGGUGGAAUUCCGGGUGUAGCGGUGGAAUGCGUAGAUAUCGAGAGGAACACCUGCGGCGAAGGCGGGUUGCUGGGCUGAUACUGACGCUGAGGCGCGAAAGCCAGGGGAGCGAACGGG
rnacentral:rRNA from 1 species